UGGGUGUCCUGUCAGAACAAUGGGAUCCUGU
rnacentral:piRNA from 1 species